UACGAAGGGUGCAAGCGUUAGUCGGAAUUACUGGGCGUAAAGCGUGCGCAGGCGGUUGUGCAAGACCGAUGUGAAAUCCCCGGGCUUAACCUGGGAAUGGCAUUGGUGACUGCACGGCUAGAGUGUGUCAGAGGGGGGUAGAAUUCCACGUGUAGCAGUGAAAUGCGUAGAGAUGUGGAGGAAUACCGAUGGCGAAGGCAGCCCCCUGGGAUAACACUGACGCUCAUGCACGAAAGCGUGGGGAGCAAACAGG
rnacentral:rRNA from 1 species